CCCAAAAGGCCCUGAUAGCCCCCCAAAAAACCCCAAAAGUCCCCCAAAAGCCCCCCAAAAGGCCCCGAUAGCCCCCCAAAAGCCCCCCAAAAGGCCCCAAAAGGCCCCCAAAGGUCCUGGCAGGUCCCCUAAAAGCCCCCCCCAGGUCCCGGCAGCUCACAGCACUCACUUGUCCCCCAAAAGGCCCCAGAAGCCCCCCAAAAGGCCCCAAAAGGUCCUGGAAGAUCCCCAGAAGCCCCCCAAAAGGCCCCAAAAGGUCCUGGAAGAUCCCCAAAAAGCCCCCCAAUAGGUCCCAAAAGCCCCCCUGCAGCCCCCCAAAAGGCCCCAAAAGCCCCCCAAAAGACCCCAGCAGCCCCCCAAAAGGCCCCAGCAGCCCCCCAGCAGCCCCCCAAAGCCCCCCCAGGUCCCGGCAGCUCACAGCACUCACUUGUCCCCCA
ensembl:lncRNA